rnacentral:pre_miRNA from 1 species
UUUGUUUAUCUCAAUGUCUUUGGUAUCCUAGCUGUAGGUUAUUUUAUAUCCUAAAGCUAUUAUACCAAACUCAUUGCGGAAACUUC